rnacentral:rRNA from 1 species
UACAGAGGGUGCAAGCGUUGUUCGGAAUUAUUGGGCGUAAAGGGCGCGUAGGCGGUGCGGUAAGUCUGUAGUGAAAUCUCUGGGCUCAACUCAGAGUCUGCUGCAGAAACUGCCGUGCUUGAGUGUGGGAGAGGUGAGUGGAAUUCCCGGUGUAGCGGUGAAAUGCGUAGAUAUCUGGAGGAACACCUGUGGCGAAGGCGGCUAUCUGGUCCAAUUCUGACGCUGAGGCGCGAAAGCUAGGGGAGCAAACAGG